GCACCAACAAAGUUGAGUAGUUCAACAAUUUACCCAUUUCACGGUAUGUCUCACAGGCAUAGCGAUCAUGAUUCUGAUUCGAGUGAUAGUGAGGACGAAACACUUAUGCUUGUCAAUCUUCUUGUCCUCAACAUAGAGGCCAGACGCCAGCACCGAAGACGGUCCCGUUUGCCUCGCCGCGUUAUUCACAAGGAUCAUUUUGGUGGAGAAAAUCUUAUCCAUCAUCACUACUUCGCCCCGAACCCAGUGUAUCCACCCCACGUCUUUCGUAGAAGGGGCAUUUAACGCAAAGGUGGCCUGACACCUCUAUCCUGACACGCGCCCCCGGCAGAGCCGAGGUGACCGCCGUCACUCCACCGCUCCACUGGCCAGUCUGACAGAAGGACAGCGCCGCCUGCGCCACUCCGACUGCAGUGCCACUCGACAGAGUGAGUCUGACAGGCAGUCAGGCCUUGCCAAAGGCGCCACGGCGAACUCCGCUCCGCCCGACCCCAGGGCUCGGACUCGGGCUAAGACCCGGAAGACGGCGAACUCCGCCCCGCCCGACCCCAGGGCUCGGACUCGGGCUAAGACCCGGAAGACGGCGAACUCCGCUCCACCCGACCCCAGGGCUCGGACUCGGGCUAAGACCCGGAAGACGGCGAACUCCGCUCCGCCCGACCCCAGGGCUCGGACUCGGGCUAAGACCCGGAAGACGGCGAACUCCGCUCCGCCCGACCCCAGGGCUCGGACUCGGGCUAAGACCCGGAAGACGGCGAACUCCGCUCCGCCCGACCCCAGGGCUCGGACUCGGGCUAAGACCCGGAAGAUGACGAAACUCCGCCUCGCCCGACCCCAGGGCUCGGACUCCGCCCUGGCCUCGGCCGAACGACUUCCGCCUCGCCCGACCCCUUGGCUCGGGCUCGGCCACGGCAACAGAAGGCAGACUCAACCUCGGCUUCGGAGGAAACCCCACGUCGCCCUGCCUAGGGCACAGACCGCCACGUCAACAGGAGGCGCCAUCAUCAUCCCACCCCGAAUCGACUCGGGUCACGGAGAACAAGACCGACGUCUCAUCCGGCCAGCUCCGCCAGAGAGGCAAUGAUGGCACUCCACAAGCUCUAUGACAACGGCGGCCCCCAGCUCUCUUACGGAAGCAGGACAACGUCAGCAGGGACUCGACCGCUCCAACAGCUGUCCCUCCAUCAGGCUCCGCCGCACCUCCGACAGCCACGACAUCACGCCAGCAGGGUGCCCAGAUCUCUCCGGCUGCCACAUUGGCAUGUACCUAGGGCGCUAGCUCUCCCUCCGCUAGACACGUAGCACUCUGCUACAUCCCCAUUGUACACCUGGAUCCUCUCCUUACGACUAUAAAAGGAAGGACCAGGGCCUUCUCAGAAAAGGUUGGCCGCGCGGGACCGAGGACGGGACAGGCGCUCUCUUGGGGCCGCUCGCUUCCCUCACCCGCGUGGACGCUUGUAACCCCCCUACUGCAAGCGCACCUGACCUGGGCGCGGGACGAACACGAAGGCCGCGGGACUUCCACC